GGCCCUGUCGUCUAGAGGCCUAGGAUACUUGGUUCUCAUCCAAGAGACACGGGUUCAAAUCCCGUCGGGGCUA
rnacentral:tRNA from 1 species